GCCUCUCGGAGAGGGGGCUGGGCUUUUGCUUCGUCAGCCCCAGCCCCCGCUAGCGGGGACGUCAUUCGGAGCCCUGCAGUGAGUGAGCAGCGUUCGGCUGGCGGCCGGCUCGCAGGCGCCGGCUUCGCCCUCGCAGACUUCCCUCGGCUACCAUGGGGUGGCAGCAGCAUGCAGACGAACGGCCGCCUCCGGCCCCGCUGCCUGCCUUUAGCUCCUAGGUGGUUAAAGCUGCGAUGCAAGGGAAAAUCAAUUCCCGGAGAGUGGAGGUCGCGCGAGCCGCUCGCAGCCGCUGCGGGAGAACGGGAGGCGAGGCGAAAUCACCGAGCAGACGAGUGGCGCAGGACGGACGGACACGGAGCCUCCCUUCGCAAGCGCGCCGGAGGGACCCCAGCCCGAGGCGCCCGGAGCUCCGCUCUGCGGCUGAGUCUCUUCUGCCCCACUGAUUAGAGGUCACCCAGGAAGGAGAUGUAGAAAAAGUGCAUCAUCCUGGCUGACUUCUGCUCAGCGGGGGGCAGCAUACCACCGAGGGGAGCGAGCCGGAGCUGGGGUCCGAAGACGCGAAUUCGAAUUCUGCAAGUCACCUCACCUGCCAAGGCCUCCUAGGCCUGAACUCUGUGGAAGGGAGGUUGCUCAAGGGAGUCCCUGGCCAAUUUGAUGAGCUCCCCGAGAUCCUAAGAGAGAGAAACUGAGGCCAAGGAAAAGGAAAUGACAACGUAUCAUCAUAGAUUGAGAACUGGAUAUCACAGCCACCUCAUCCAAUCCCCUACUUUUUAUAAGUAACUGUGACUCGACCUGAUCGUCAUGACUCGGCUCCCUUCUUUCCCUGCGAUAUCCCCCCACCUGUGAGUCCUCCUUCCAUCGGGCAGUUUCUUCAGGCGGACCUCCAUUUUGGU